AUUAAUAAUCGAGUGCAAUUGUCUAAAUCGAUUUAGUAUAAUGACUAAAAAUAUAUCAUUUCUUUAAUUUAUUUAAUUUCAAAUCUCUACUUUUCAAACUGCUAUUAAAAAAUAAAAGAAAAGUGCAGUUAAAAAUGUAAACCCUCACAGCAUUUCUUUCUAAAUGCCAUUUCAUCCUUGCUUUGAUUGAUAUAUGCCAUGUCUACAUCUAAUUAUGGUCAUGCCCAUGAUAAAGUUUUUUUUUCCCUUGUUAGUAUUAGGGUGUAUAGUUCCUUUCAUUCUUUCAAUUUGAACACUUUUGGGCAUUGUUCCUACCCUAAAUUCCUACCCUCUAGCCAUUGGAGUUUGCCCCCCAGGUGGCUGGACAAUGGCUCUUUUAGUGGAACGUGUGCCAUAGAAUUAUUAUUAUUUUUAUGUAAUACAAGCUAGGAAAUUGGGCUACCCGUAAUAUCUUCUUGAUUUGAAAAGCAUAUAUUGAAUAGAAGAGCAAUAGAUAGCAUCAAAUUUGUGCAAGUAUAAUCAAAGGUCAGAGUCAAAAGAUACGGCCUUUGAUCCCAUAUAUUAAUCCCCACUAGUCACAACCUAUUAUCAUAUGAAAUUGACUUAAUUAAAGAUGAGAAAAGAAUAUUAUUUAUUCUCGCCAUAUUAUUAUAAAUUUUUUGUCCUUGAUAAAUAGUGUUAGACCACAUCAACUUCACCCAAAAGGGACUGAUGUGUUUGCCUUUGGUCCGUACGAUUGGACGUUGCAACUUGUUAGAUGGCUUCAUUCCUCAUGAAAAUGGAAGAUCAAGUGUCUUAAAUCUCUUUCUCCUCUUCGUCUCCUUUGUUUGUUUGUUUUGAAGUAUCUUAGCUCAGUUUGUUCAUAUGCUAUUGCCUAUUAAUUUUAUAGACAGCAAAAUUAAUAUUACCAUAAAAAUUUUUCCUGCUAAUUCUAACAUUUAUAAUAGUUACGAACUUUUGAUAGUGAGAUAUAGAACCUGAUAAAUAACACUCAGUUGUACUGCUCAUCUAUAUGAUCAGUAUGUAUGCAAAUUACAUGAUAAGGUUUGGAAAUCUUAUCUUAGCUGGUGGUUUUACAUAUCAUUAUCUACAAUAUGGUUACAAUGGAUUAGCCCUAUCCGAACCCCAUUGCACACGUAGGCCAAUAAUUGUGUCUCAUAUGAUUUGGUUUAUGGAUUGUGAUUUGGGAAGAUCAUGAUCAAUUUGUGAAUUAAUCGAUGGUGGGCAUAACAGGACACAACUCUUUAAUUUCAUCAGACUUAUACAGUAGCUAAUUAUUUUUGCCACUUUUAAUUAGUUCCCUCAAUUUUACAGAUGAUAAUAUAUCACAAUCUUUUUCAACAAAUAUAAUUGUAGAUUACAGAUUAGGAUUACCAUUUUUUAAUUUUAAUAGAAGAAUAUUAAUUAAUUCUUGAUUUUUCAAAAUAAAUCCAUAAAUUUGUUUUGAAUAAUUCGCAUAAUUAUAAAAUAAUAUUUGUGUUGUAUUUAAUAAGAAGGUAUGAGAGUUUCUAUACAUGUAUAGAGUUGGUGCUAGAUGACAGAAGUAGUUAGACAAUAAGGCCAGCAAAUCCAUUACAAAAGGUAAUGAAAAAGAGUCUUUUCUCUUCUUUCUUGUUUCUUUCGUUGGGUUUCCUACGGCCACUACUACCCAUUUUCUCUUCACAUGUAUUGCCAAUUUGACCUUUAUUUACUCACCAAAUGGGUUUGCAAAUUUUUUUUUUCUUAAUUCAGGAAAAAAAAUAAUAAAGAAACAUUUAACAAAGGCAUGCACAGCCAAAGGGUUGAUUUAGGUGAUAAGGAAUAUUCAUUUAGUCUGAGGAGUCUUAGGUUGAAAUUUUAUCAAUGAUUUUUGGUGUGGUGAUAUAUCUACAUCUAAUCAUAGGUAUAAUGGGAUAUUUCUAAAUGUGUGUGAAUGUGAAAGGCUCUAUAUUAUCUAUCGGAUGUGUGAUUAACCAAUUUAUACACCUAUUGUCAUUAAAAGUAAGCAUGCACAGGAUCAAGUCAAUCUCAGCAAAUUAAAAUAUGUCACUUGUUUCAUUUUGAGUGGAAAAUUACACCAUUUGUGUUUGGGGUUAUCUUCAAACUUCUCUCCCUCCAUGGAGGAUAAAUAGCCACGUUUUCUACAUUUUAUAAUAUCAAAUUCCACCACCUGAUACGUCCUUUCUUAUUCAGAUCAUUUUCUUGAUAUGUAUUAUUAUGGUUAUUAUUGUUUAGUCAUAAUUUCUCUCUCCCAUGAUAUUGGUGUUUGAACUCGCAAGAAGAAAUUUGCAUAUAUAAUGAAGCUUUCUUUACAUAUACAAAUUAAAUAUAUUAUCACCUAUAUUACACAAUAAACAUUCAAUUAUUGAAUUCAAUGUUCAUCUAAAAGAAGCUACCAAAACAGCAUAAGGGUUUUUUUUUUUAGAUAUAUCCCUUUACAUGUAUCCGUGUAAGAAAGAAAGUGACCUGACAAGGCCAAAAAUUCACAUUUUAUGAGUUAGUGCCUAGGCCAACAUGCAUUAUAUAUAUGAUCAUAGCUUGCUGGUGCCUUCUCCAAUAUUAUAUAUCUUACCCUUAUCUUGUGUAAAGUUGUCCAAUAAUCAAAGAAACUUUACAGUCAGAAACAUAUAUAGUUGUUUUCUAUUUUCAAUUAGUAUAAUAUAGUAGUAAUCAAUUACCCAUAAAGGUGUUUGA
rnacentral:misc_RNA from 1 species